rnacentral:rRNA from 1 species
GAUGAACGCUGGCGGCGUGCCUAAUACAUGCAAGUCGAGCGAACAGACGAGGAGCUUGCUCCUUUGACGUUAGCGGCGGACGGGUGAGUAACACGUGGAUAACCUACCUAUAAGACUGGGAUAACUUCGGGAAACCGGAGCUAAUACCGGAUAACAUGUUGAACCGCGUGGUUCAACAGUGAAAGACGGUUUUGCUGUCACUUAUAGAUGGAUCCGCGCCGCAUUAGCUAGUUGGUAAGGUAACGGCUUACCAAGGCAACGAUGCGUAGCCGACCUGAGAGGGUGAUCGGCCACACUGGAACUGAGACACGGUCCAGACUCCUACGGGAGGCAGCAGUAGGGAAUCUUCCGCAAUGGGCGAAAGCCUGACGGAGCAACGCCGCGUGAGUGAAGAAGGUCUUCGGAUCGUAAAACUCUGUUAUUAGGGAAGAACAAAUGUGUAAGUAACUAUGCACGUCUUGACGGUACCUAAUCAGAAAGCCACGGCUAACUACGUG